AUUUCUUAAAGGAUGAAACAUUCCACAAAAUAUAUUUUAUCACAGACUAUGGGGUGGAUUCCACUGGGAGAAAAGAGGAUCUAAAUGCCAGGCUCACCCCUCACAUUCUAUUCAACUGCACAGGAUAGAAUGAUGUAAGUGCUUCAGAAUGAUGCGAUUGCUGUGAAUCCAAAAUCUCUCAUAUAAUGUUGGUCAAACGUAUAACUGUCUUAGCCACUCUAGGUUUUCUCCUUCUCCUCUAGAUCUUUGC
rnacentral:lncRNA from 1 species